rnacentral:rRNA from 1 species
UACGUAGGGGGCAAGCGUUGUCCGGAUUUAUUGGGCGUAAAGAGCGUGUAGGCGGCUUGGUAGGUCCGCUGUGAAAACUCGAGGCUCAACCUCGAGAUGUCGGCGGAAACCACUUGGCUAGAGUCCGGAAGAGGAGAGUGGAAUUCCCGGUGUAGCGGUGAAAUGCGCAGAUAUCGGGGAAGAACACCUAUGGCGGAAGGCAGCUCUCUGGGACGGUAC